UUCAGUUUCCUCUAAUAUCUCA
rnacentral:miRNA from 1 species